rnacentral:rRNA from 1 species
GACGAACGCUGGCGGCGUGCUUAACACAUGCAAGUCGAACGGAAAGGCCCUGCUUUUGUGGGGUGCUCGAGUGGCGAACGGGUGAGUAACACGUGAGUAACCUGCCCUUGACUUUGGGAUAACUUCAGGAAACUGGGGCUAAUACCGGAUAGGAGCUCCUGCUGCAUGGUGGGGGUUGGAAAGUUUCGGCGGUUGGGGAUGGACUCGCGGCUUAUCAGCUUGUUGGUGGGGUAGUGGCUUACCAAGGCUUUGACGGGUAGCCGGCCUGAGAGGGUGACCGGCCACAUUGGGACUGAGAUACGGACCAGACUGCUACGGGAGGCAGCAGUGGGGAAUAUUGCACAAUGGGCGGAAGCCUGAUGCAGCAACGCCGCGUGCGGGAUGACGGCCUUCGGGUUGUAAACCGAUUUCGCCUGUGACGAAGCGUGAGUGACGGUAAUGGGUAAAGAAGCACCGGCUAACUACGUG